UACGUAGGGUGCAAGCGUUGUCCGGAAUUAUUGGGCGUAAAGCGCAUGUAGGCGGUUUGUUAAGUCUGGUGUGAAAGCUCAAGGCCUAACCUUGAAAUUGCAUUGGAAACUGGCAAACUAGAAUACUGGAGGGGUAAGUGGAAUUCCAUGUGUAGCGGUGGAAUGCGUAGAUAUAUGGAGGAACACCAAUGGCGAAGGCAGCUUACUGGACAGUUAUUGACGCUGAGAUGCGAAAGCGUGGGGAGCAAACAGG
rnacentral:rRNA from 1 species